rnacentral:lncRNA from 1 species
CCUGCUCUGCCGGCUCUGGUGGGCUCACCCCAAGGGGAUGGUUUCUCUUUGCUGCAGGAGUUGGAGUUCUCCAAUAUGGCAGCUCAUCCCCUGGAUCCAGACAUUGAAAUCUACACCAGAGACUUGGGGGGCAAAUUGGAGCUCAGCCUGGUGGAGAAGAAAAAGCAGCAACAGAUCUGGGAGACAACUGUGAGACCAGGGGAUGUGAGGCUUCCUGGCUCCACCCCAACACGAGCAGCAGACAUCCAAGACAAGAUGCCUGAGACCUGGAGAGACACCCUGCAGGAGACUUUGGAUGAGCUGGAGAGUGAAAAUUUCAAACGAUUCAAGUCCAAAUUGAAGAAUAUGGACCUACCAGAGGGAUACAAGAGAAUCCCCAGUGGGAUGUUGGAGAAGGCCGACUCCCUGACCGUGCGUGAGCUGCUGGUGCAGUACUACAAGAUGGAUGGGGCUGUUGAGGUGGCCAUUCAAGCCCUAAAGGGAAUCAACCAGAACGAGCUGGCAGGAAAGCUUGAGACGCACACCAGGAGAAUUCCAGCUGGCAUUGAUUCCAUGUCUCACCGUCUUUCUGCACUGGAGUUGGGAUCGCCCAGCUGAAGAUGAGCGCACGCCCGACAGAACUGAACUGAUCACGGCCGGGGCAGCGAGGUCUCUUCGUUUGUCUGAAGAAACAUUAGCGAGAUUCAGUGCGAGCCUUUCCAUGCACCAGACAGCCGAUGACAAAAGCACGUCCCUGCGGGAGCAGAAGACGCAUAUCGCCACAGCACAGCUCCCAGGGCUGAGCCCGGAGUAGGAAUCUGUUUCCCAGGCAGGAAUCCCUUUGGUGCUGAUCACCGUAUUAGCUGAGCAAGUCACAGAUAUUAACCGAGUUGGCUCAACACCCCGAUGAUCUAGGGAACUAUUGUCCCCAUGUCACCGCAUGGACUGGUUCUUUGAGGGGCUGGGGCUCAGCUGCACUGUGCCGGCCGUAGGGAACAACACCCAGGGCCAUAUGAUGGGAGCUUGUGACUGGAACACAGCCUGCUGAGAGCAUAAGGGCUGGGGGCUGAGGGCAUCUGGUAACUCCCCAGAGCCCAGAAGAGAGACCUGCAAGGAGCUGGGAUGAUCCUCAGCUAGCAGGAUGCAAAGAACUGAGCUGAGAUUUCCCAAGCACUUCAACCAGAACACACAGUCUUAGCCCUGGUCUACACUACGAGUUUAGGUCGAAUUUAUUAGCGUUAUUUCGAUUGAUCCGUGCACCCGUCCACACGACGAAGCCCUUAACUUCGACUUCUAGGGCUCUUAAAAUCGAUCUCGCCACUCCACCCCAAACGAGAGAAUUAGCGCUUAAAGCGAUAUUGCCGAAUCGAUGUAGGCUUAGUGAGGACGCAAUUCGACAGUAUCGGCCUCCUAAAUCUAUCCCACGGUGCAACAGCUGACCGCUCUGGACAGCAGUCUGAGCUCGAAUGCUCCUCCCAGGUAGACAGGAAAAGCCCCG